rnacentral:rRNA from 1 species
GUCUGCAGCCCUACCAACCUGAACGUUCCCAAUCUCAUCUGGUCUCAAGAAGUUAGGCAGGGUCAGGCCUGGUUAGUACUUGGAUGGGAGAAGAUCUUAAGAGGAGACUGCUCAGAGACAAGCAGUUUGGAGAUA